AGAGUUUGAUCCUGGCUCAGGAUGAACGCUGGCGGCAUGUCUAAGGCAUGCAAGUCGAGGGUUGGUAGCAAUACCGGCCCGGCAGACGGGUGCGUAACACAUUGGUAACCUGCCUCUAUCUCGGGCAUAACCCUGCGAAAGCGGGGACAAUUCCCGAUAGACAUGUGGGGUCAUAAGACAUUCACAUGUAAAGUUCCGACGGAUAGAGAGGGGCCUAUGGCUCAUCAGUUAGUUGGUAGGGUAAUGGCCUACCAAGACAAUGACGAGUAGCGGGUGUGAGAGCAUGACCCGCCUCACUGGGACUGAGAAACUGCCCAGACUCCUACGGGAGGCUGCAGUCAAGAAUCUUCCUCAAUGGCCGAAAGGCUGAAGGAGCAAUGCCGCGUGAUCGAAGAAGCCCCUCGGGGUGUAAAGAUCUUUUAUCAGGGACGAAUUUUGACGGUACCUGAUGAAUAAGCAACUGCUAACUUCGUGCCAGCAGCAGCGGUAAUACGAAGGUUGCAAGCGUUAUCCGGAUUAAUUGGGCGUAAAGCGUCCGCAGAUGGUUUGAUAAGCCGUGGGUCAAAUCCUGAAGCUCAACUUCAGGGCUGCUUACGAAACUAUCAUUCUCGAGACUGGAAGAGGCAAGCGGAAUUACCGGUGUAGCGGUAAAAUGCGUUAAUAUCGGUAAGAACACCAAAAGCGAAGGCAGCUUGCUGGGACAGUUCUGACAUUAAUGGACGAAAGCGUGGGGAGCGAAUGGGAUUAGAUACCCCAGUAGUCCACGCCGUAAACGAUGGGUACUAAGCAUUGGAAGUAUCGACCCUUUCAGUGUUGUUUAAUUAAGCUAACGCCUUAAGUACCCCGCCUGGGAAGUACGGUCGCAAG
rnacentral:rRNA from 1 species